GCGGGGCGGAGCUCAGGAGCCCCGCCGGAGCCAUGCCGCAGCGCUGUUCAGGGACACCGCUGGAUACGACGCGCUAAGGCUCCGGGUCUCCAUGCAGUAGUUGGGAGGAUAGAGAAUUAAAGAAAGUGGAGAAAAAAUGUUCUUAUAAGAUGAAUUGGAUCUUACAGCAAUUAUGACUUCAAUGGUGGAAAUCCGGCUUGACAUCCAUGUCUUAAUGAUGAUUUCCUAACAUAAACAAGCAGUCCAUAUGACAAGGAAGACAUUUUCAAAAUAGUAGAAGGGAUGCCAAAGCACAAUAGCCAAAAGUAAUUCCAAAUAUUUAGCACUUCCCUACUUGAUCCACUGAUGAUCUCUACAGCUGGCUGAGAAAUGGCAAGUGUUUAAAAAAAUUUAAACCAUUCUAAUGAUCAAAAAACUGCCAUAAACACAUACCAACAAUUUAAAUGGAAUCAGUACAAUUUAAAUGGAAUAGGACAUUGCUACACUAUUGACAAUAAAAUUAUGCCUCCUCGUUCAACCUGUUCAGUUGAUCCAGUGGGGAAGGAAUACCAUGGACCAGAGUGGAGAGGCUGCACUUGUGAUUAGCUGCUGUACACAGGAUAAAAUGGGGGAAUAGGACUUUGUACUACCAGUGGGUCCAACCACUAUCUGCUCCAAAGGAGGUGAUUUACUAGAGCCUACAACGUGGCAGCAGUACAGUAACUGAAAAGAAAAAGUGAAACAGAGAAAUACCGCCACAGGGAUGGUAUUUAUUUUUGUAAACAAUUUCCUGUUUGAAUUACUAAUUUGCAAAGGAUCAGUUCAGUACCAUUAGCCAGUUAUAGCCUGUGAAGCUUAUUGUGGCAGUAGGUGUAAAGAGCUGUUGAAAAAUGACUCAUCAGCUGUGAUUAUGACUCUAAAAUAAGGGACUUGAGAUAUUUUACAUUCUUUGAGAGCUCUUUUCACUUGCUAUGGAGGUUUUUCCUAAAAUAUAAAAAAAAAUGCAAACACAGAUUCUGAUUAAAUAUGUUGAAAUGAAAAUAUUGGAACAGCGAAUUUAGCUCUGAACAGUGGGCUUCCUUUUAAUAACAUAAAAGCCAGAAAAUGCAAAAUGAUUGGGAUGAUAUCUAAAUCUAGGCUCUGAUCCUGCAGACUGUGAGGCAUGGGAAGGCGUACCUGAUUAGAAAGUGCAAUUCUCUAUCUUCUGUAUAGAGAAUUAUUUUGAGAGCUUAAGUGGGAUUGAAGUGAUGCAGAAGCCUUGUGAUGGGCUUCUGCACUAGGGAAAAUUUCACCUUCUAUUCCCAAGGUUUAAGCUUUAAAAUGUUUAAACUGUUUAAGCUUAUUUAAGAUUUCAAAAUAAAAAAGACAUCAAAAUGAAAUGGACAGUUUUAAAAUAUUAAUGUUAUUAGUAUUUUUAAGAAUUUACAUUAUACAUUGAACUAGAAGUCAACAAAAAGUUGCCAAAUGUGUACCAAAAAAACCCAGAAACCAGAUAAACCAAUGUUAAAUAAACCAUUGUAAGUUAAUUGACUUCCUGGCUUAGUAUGUGUGUGCCAAAUUCCAUGCUGGGUUUAAUUUUUUUUUUUUUAAGUGGAGUUACAGUCUCCUUGGGACUUGUUUGCAAUUAAAUUUCUGCAUGUCCCUUAAUUAUAGCCUAUGUGAGGCUGUAAUUAAAGGUGCACUAUUAUGUAUCUUAGGCACAAAAUAUGGGCUGCUCUAAAUCUGGGAAGCUGUCCUCCUGAUUCUAUAUAUCUGCUUUUCUAACCCACUUUCUGAAAAGGAAAUGGUAGUCAACGAAGGGAGCAAUAUCUGACUUACAUGCAAACCUUAUUAUUCUAAAACCAUAUACAUCACGGAUGCUGCUAUCAAUUGCAAUGCCAAAAAAGGAAUUAAACAGGUCUGAGUCAUGUUUGCUCCAUAAGAAACAGAGUAUGUGAAAGGGGAUAGCUUGACAAUCUACCCUGAGGCUGUGCCCUCCCAGGAGCAUACAUGGGAUUGAUUGAUCACAGACCACAAUUCCUUCCUGGCUUGCACAUUUGCUCUGGAGGCAGGUAGGGUGAGAAGUUACCUCACUCAUUUCUGUGGAGCAGUUUAUUACUUCCUGGGCACCCAGUCAGCUACUCUGGUCAGUGAGUGAUGGUCACAGCCAGGGAUCCUUUCAUUCAUCACCAUUCCUCAACCACUUGACCUCAGUGAGGAGUAUCACACCAGCAGCAUCUGGUCUCCCACAGCAACCAGAGUCACAGUUUCAGCAGUGUGUACUCCACCAAGGUGCCAUGCCAAUGAACUGCCUAGCCCUAAGUGGUGGUGUUAGUAACCAAAUUAGUUUUAUAUGGCUUGAAAAAGGAAAUAAUUUGAAUUAACUGAAGGUGCAAAGCACCCUUUAUUCUAAGACCAGCAAAAGCUGUCUCCUUGCAGAGGUGGGUCUCGUAUCAUUUACAUAAGCAUUCAAAAAAAAUGAAAAACAUCUUAUCACCUCUUAUACAACAAA